GAUGAACGCUGGCGGCGUGCCUAAUACAUGCAAGUCGAGCGAACAGACGAGAGUGCCUGCACUCUCUGACGUUAGCGGCGGACGGGUGAGUAACACGUGGGUAACCUACCUAUAAGACUGGGAUAACUUCGGGAAACCGGAGCUAAUACCGGAUAAUAUUUAGCUUCGCAUGAAGCAAUAGUGAAAGACGGUUCUGCUGUCACUUAUAGAUGGACCCGCGGUGUAUUAGCUAGUUGGUGAGGUAACGGCUCACCAAGGCAACGAUACAUAGCCGACCUGAGAGGGUGAUCGGCCACACUGGGACUGAGACACGGCCCAGACUCCUACGGGAGGCAGCAGUAGGGAAUCUUCCGCAAUGGACGAAAGUCUGACGGAGCAAUGCCGCGUGAGUGAAGAAGGUUUUCGGAUCGUAAAACUCUGUUGUAAGGGAAGAACAAGUACGUUAGUAACUGAACGUACCUUGACGGUACCUUACCAGAAAGCCACGGCUAACUACGUG
rnacentral:rRNA from 1 species